rnacentral:misc_RNA from 1 species
AAGUCGUAACAAGGUUUCUGUAGGUGAACUUGCGGAAGGAUCAUUAAUGAUUUUUAAAGCGAGUCGAGCAUUAAGCAAGGCUUGUGAAAUAUUUAAAACCCCACUCUUUUUAACCUUAAAAAAUAAAUCAUGAUAUACUGUACAUGAAUUUAAAAAAAAGAUCACUUUCAACAACAGAUCUCUUAGCUCUC